UGUGAAUUAGCGGCGAACGGGUGAGGAACACGUGAAGAAUCUGCCUUCAACUCUGGGAUAACUCCGGGAAACCGGGGCUAAUACCGGAUACGAGCUCUGAUCGCAUGAUCGGGGCUGGAAAGUUUUUCGGUUGAAGAUGACCUCGCGGCCUAUCAGCUUGUUGGUGAGGUAAUGGCUCACCAAGGCGACGACGGGUAGCUGGUCUGAGAGGAUGGUCAGCCACACUGGGACUGAGACACGGCCCAGACUCC
rnacentral:rRNA from 1 species